rnacentral:rRNA from 1 species
UUGACCUCGGAUCAGGUAGGAAUACCCGCUGAACUUAAGCAUAUCAAUAAGCGGAGGAAAAGAAACCAACAGGGAUUGCCCUAGUAACGGCGAGUGAAGCGGCAACAGCUCAAAUUUGAAAUCUGGCCUUCGGGUCCGAGUUGUAAUUUGUAGAGGAUGCUUUUGGUGAAGUGCCUUCCGAGUUCCUUGGAACAGGACGCCUUAGAGGGUGAGAGCCCCGUACGGUUGGACACUAAGCCUCUGUAAAGCUCCUUCGACGAGUCGAGUAGUUUGGGAAUGCUGCUCUAAAUGGGAGGUAAAUUUCUUCUAAAGCUAAAUACCGGCCAGAGACCGAUAGCGCACAAGUAGAGUGAUCGAAAGAUGAAAAGUACUUUGAAAAGAGGGUUAAAUAGCACGUGAAAUUGUUGAAAGGGAAGCGUUUAUGACCAGACCUUUGUCUGGCGGAUCAUCCGGUGUUCUUCACCGGUGCACUUCGCCAGGCUCAGGCCAGCAUCGAUUUCUGUAGGGGGAUAAAGACCAUGGGAACGUAGCUCUCUUCGGGGAGUGUUAUAGCCCUAGGUGUAAUACCUCUACGGGGAUCGAGGUUCGCGCUCUGCAAGGAU